AGAGUUUGAUCCUGGCUCAGGAUAAACGCUGGCGGCGCACAUAAGACAUGCAAGUCGAACGAACUUAACCAUUAGUUUACUAUUGGAGCGGUUAGUGGCGGACUGGUGAGUAACACGUAAGCAACCUGCCUAUCAGAGGGGAACAACAGUUAGAAAUGACUGCUAAUACCGCAUAUGCCUAAGUACCACAUGGUACAAUAGGGAAAGGAGUAAUCCGCUGAUAGAUGGGCUUGCGUCUGAUUAGAUAGUUGGUGGGGUAAUGGCCUACCAAGUCGACGAUCAGUAGCCGGACUGAGAGGUUGAACGGCCACAUUGGGACUGAGAUACGGCCCAGACUCCUACGGGAGGCAGCAGUCGGGAAUAUUGCGCAAUGGAGGAAACUCUGACGCAGUGACGCCGCGUGCAGGAAGAAGGUUUUCGGAUUGUAAACUGCUUUAGACAGGGAAGAAAUAAGACAGUACCUGUAGAAUAAGCUCCGGCUAACUACGUGCCAGCAGCCGCGGUAAUACGUAGGGAGCGAGCGUUAUCCGGAUUUAUUGGGUGUAAAGGGUGCGUAGACGGGAAGAUAAGUUAGUUGUGAAAUCCCUCGGCUUAACUGAGGAACUGCAACUAAAACUGAUUUUCUUGAGUACUGGAGAGGAAAGUGGAAUUCCUAGUGUAGCGGUGAAAUGCGUAGAUAUUAGGAGGAACACCAGUGGCGAAGGCGACUUUCUGGACAGAAACUGACGUUGAGGCACGAAAGUGUGGGGAGCAAACAGGAUUAGAUACCCUGGUAGUCCACACCGUAAACGAUGGAUACUAGGUGUAGGGGAUAUUAAAAUUCUCUGUGCCGCCGCUAACGCAAUAAGUAUCCCACCUGGGGAGUACGGCCGCAAGGUUGAAACUCAAAGGAAUUGACGGGGGCCCGCACAAGCAGUGGAGUAUGUGGUUUAAUUCGACGCAACGCGAAGAACCUUACCAAGUCUUGACAUCCUGCGACGGUGCUGGAAACAGUACUUUCCUUCGGGACGCAGAGACAGGUGGUGCAUGGUUGUCGUCAGCUCGUGUCGUGAGAUGUUGGGUUAAGU
rnacentral:rRNA from 1 species